rnacentral:lncRNA from 1 species
AAAGUUGGUCAUAGUCGAGGCUGUUGAGUUACGAGUGUUUUGAAUCGAAUCGGAUUUAUUAUUAUAUUAUAUGUGAAUAUUUGAAAAUAUUGGAUUUGCAUUAAAUCAGCAUGAAAUAUAUUUUUAUGUUUAUUUGCAACAUUGUUCUUGAAAAUUUAUAUAAUAUCUGAAAUAUCUAGUUGAGAUAUUUGUUACUUACUGGGCUGUCUAGCUCAUUACCUUUCUUUCUAUUUUUCAGAUUCAGAUAAUUAAUUUCGAGCGUGG